GACCUUGGGAGAUGACUGUCGUAAAAAAUACUCGUCAGUCACUGAACACGGUGGCUGCCUGCGCUGCUUCUUCCCUGGUCCCAGGAAUCACAACAGCAAAAUGAGGUCACAUUUCUUUGGAAUUGGUUCCAACAUGAUGGGUGCCAGGACACUGAAGGGACAUGGAGCGCGGAGUCAGCUGUGGAGUGCUUUCUUCAUGACCAGGGCAGCAAACAUGAUAUGUCCCAGGAGCUCUCCUGGCAUGGGCUCACACAGACCUGGACCUGGCCUUACACCUCCCUCAGCUCUGGGUGGGACACUGUCCGGGCCAAGGACAAAUGUUACUGGAAAUCAUGUCACUGUCGACAUCUCAGACUGAAAACCAGCAUGGUUGUGGAAUGAGCUGGUCAGGCGCUCUCCAGAUCUCUCUGCUAAAUGUAAUCAUGGACUGCU